GAGGACACCUCACAGCUCAGGGUGCACAGCCAGAGAGCUGCAGAGGGAGAGUAGGAAGUGCACAGAGCCCCAGGGCAUGGCCAGUGGGCACCUCUUGCUUCAGCUCUGGAAGGUGGGCUCACUCUACCACCCAACAUGUAGGAGGCCCCUCAUGGCCACAGGACAGAGCAGCAGUAAAUAAAUCAUAAAAACCACUUCCAGAUUUAUAAGGAAAAACGCCUCCAGAGACCCUCCA
rnacentral:lncRNA from 1 species